rnacentral:rRNA from 1 species
AUUGCACGCUGGCGGCAGGCCUAACACAUGCAAGUCGAACGAGUGGCGGACGGGUGAGUAAUGCCUGGGAAACUGCCUGAUGGAGGGGGAUAACUACUGGAAACGGUAGCUAAUACCGCAUACCAUCGGAUGUGCCCAGAUGGGAUUAGCUAGUAGGUGGGUUAAAGGCUCACCUUGGCGACGAUCCCUAGCUGGGCUAUGAGGAUGACCGGCCACACUGGAACUGAGACACGGUCCGGACUCCUACGUGAGGCCGCAGUGGGGAAUAUGGCACAAUGGGCGCAGGCCUGAUACAGCCGUGCCGCGUGUAUGAAGAAGACCUUCGAGUUGUAAAGUACUUUCCGCGGGGAGGCGUUACCCGCAGAAGAAGCACCGGCUAACUCCGUGCCAGCAGCCGCGGUAAUAC